UACGAAGGGGCUAGCGUUGCUCGGAUUGACUGGGCGUAAAGGCGCGUAGGCGGAUAGUACAGUCAGGCGUGAAAUUCCUGGGCUCAACCUGGGGGCUGCGUUUGAUACGUAUUGUCUGGAGUUCGGAAGAGGGUCGUGGAAUUCCCAGUGUAGGAGGUGAAAUUCGUAGAUAUUGGGAAGAACACCGGUGGCGAAGGCGGCGACCUGGUCCGAUACUGACGCUGAGGCGCGAAAGCGUGGGGAGCAAACAGG
rnacentral:rRNA from 1 species